GUAGUCUCGCACAGAUGCAUAUCAAUAAGCGGAGGAAAAGAAACUAACAAGGAUUCCCCUAGUAACGGCGAGUGAAGCGGGAAGAGCUCAAAUUUGAAAUCUUAAAGGGUUUCCCUUUACGAAUUGUAGUUUAAAGAAGUGUUUUCUGUUGAGGUUUUGGUAAAAGUUCUUUGGAAUAGGACAUCAUAGAGGGUGAGAAUCCCGUAUUUGACCUUUACUUUCAACUUUGUGAUACACUUUCAAAGAGUCGGAUUGUUUGGGAAUGCAGUCCAAAAUGGGUGGUAAAUUUCAUCUAAAGCUAAAUAUUGGCGAGAGACCGAUAGCGAACAAGUACCGUGAGGGAAAGAUGAAAAGAACUUUGAAAAGAGAGUUAAACAGUACGUGAAAUUGUCAAAAGGGAGGCGUUUGACACCAGUGUUGUUUUUCUGAAAAUCAAUUAAAGAACUGUUUAUGCUAAGCUGUUUAGACUUUAUCAGCUAUCUGUUUAGUUUUGAGCUUUUCUUUAAUGCACUUUUCAGUUAACAAGUCAACAUCAAUUUCUUUUGCUGUAAAAAAGCUUGAGGAAGGUGGCUUGAGAUUCGUCUUAAGUGUUUAUAGCCUCUUGCCUAUGCAGUCGGAGAGAUUGAGGUCUGCAGCGUAGAUCCUUCGGGGCUAAAUGCAUUUGUGCUAAGUUAUAGCAUUUUAUAGACAACUUGUUGACUAUGAUUUGUCUUGUAGCUUACUCGCUUAUGUUAUUUUACCUACGCUUAGGAUGUUGAAGACUCUACAGAGAUA
rnacentral:rRNA from 1 species